rnacentral:rRNA from 1 species
CUAGCCGUAAACGAUGGAUACUAGGUGUGGGGGAAGCAGUUCCUCCGUGCCGGAGUUAACGCGAUAAGUAUCCCGCCUGGGAACUACGGCCGCAAGGCUGAAACUCAAAGGAAUUGACGGGGGCCCGCACAAGCGGUGGAGCACGUGGUUUAAUUCGAUGCAAACCGAAGAACCUUACCUGGGUUUGACAUACAAGUGGUAGUGAAGCGAAAGUGGAACGACCUUAGUAGCAAUACUAGGGAGCUUGAACAGGUGC